rnacentral:rRNA from 1 species
AUGAACGUCGCCCUCAUGCUAUGCUGGGUCUGGUGGAUCUUGCGUAAAGAGGGUUGUCUGUGGCUGCAUCUUAUCCUAGCCAAAUACCUACAGGGUGCGGCUCUCUUGGCGUGCUCCCGCCCAGAUGGCUCCCAGAUCUGGAAAUCCAUCCAGAAGAUUAAGAACGAGAUUCGCCUCGGGGCUACCUUUACAGUUGGCAAUGUGAAUGGUACUCAGUUCUGGCUCGACCCUUGGACGGGCAAUGAGCCAUUGCGUACCCAAUCCCCUAGAUUAUUUGCGAUCCGUACUGACCCAUCUAUCCUAGUGUCCGCGGCUUGUCUAGAUGGCAUGUGGAACAUCGCAUUCCGACGGUCAUUUGGCCAUGAGGAGGCUCUCGAAUGGGAUAGGUUGGGAGACGUCAUCUUGGCGGAACGAUCUCAGUCCCCGGACAGUGUCUUCUGGAGUCUCUCUCCUUUGGGAGAGUUCUCCGUUAGUUUGGCAUAUUAG